CCGCGCUGGACCAGGGAGGUAGCGGUGCCUUCGCCCGAAAGGGCGCCUCAACCCGCUUCAGAGGGGUCGACCGCUUCUCCGAGGGCGUCCGGCGUGUACAGCGCAGGGGCACGUGGUGUCGAUCCGGGUGUCCGGUGCAACUUAAGAGCGGCGAACCCCGCCAGAGCCGGAAGGCAGCAACGGUAACCGAUAUCUUUCGUGUGCCGCCGGUCUCGUCCGGGGAGCCGGCGACCUUCAGCGGGUGCAUGCCGUGGCGUUCGAAGAGAGGCUGCGCGG
rnacentral:SRP_RNA from 1 species